rnacentral:rRNA from 1 species
CGCGGCCUAUCAGCUUGUUGGCGGGGUAACGGCCCACCAAGGCGACGACGGGUAGCCGGCCUGAGAGGGUGACCGGCCACACUGGGACUGAGACACGGCCCAGACUCCUACGGGAGGCAGCAGUGGGGAAUAUUGCACAAUGGGCGAAAGCCUGAUGCAGCGACGCCGCGUGAGGGAUGACGGCCUUCGGGUUGUAAACCUCUUUCAGUAGGGAAGAAGCGAAAGUGACGGUACCUGCAGAAGAAGCGCCGGCUAACUACGUGCCAGCAGCCGCGGUAAUACGUAGGGCGCAAGCGUUAUCCGGAAUUAUUGGGCGUAAAGAGCUCGUAGGCGGUUUGUCGCGUCUGCCGUGAAAGUCCGGGGCUCAACCCCGGAUCUGCGGUGGGUACGGGCAGACUAGAGUGAUGUAGGGGAGGCUGGAAUUCCUGGUGUAGCGGUGAAAUGCGCAGAUAUCAGGAGGAACACCGAUGGCGAAGGCAGGUCUCUGGGCAUUAACUGACGCUGAGGAGCGAAAGCAUGGGGAGCGAACAGAAUUAGAUACCCUGGUAGUCCAUGCCGUAAACGUUGGGCACUAGGUGUGGGGGACAUUCCACGUUUUCCGCGCCGUAGCUAACGCAUUAAGUGCCCCGCCUGGGGAGUACGG